AGAGUUUGAUCCUGGCUCAGAUUGAACGCUGGCGGCGUGCCUAACACAUGCAAGUCGAGCGGCAGCGCGGGAGCAAUCCUGGCGGCGAGCGGCGGACGGGUGAGCAAUAUUUGGGAAUCUGCCUAUUAGUGGGGGACAACCCGGGGAAACUCGGGCUAAUACCGCAUACGCACUACGGUGGAAAGCCGGGGACCGCAAGGCCUGGCGCUAAUAGAUGAGCCCAAAUCGGAUUAGCUAGUUGGUGAGGUAAUGGCUCACCAAGGCUACGAUCCGUAGCUGGUCUGAGAGGACGACCAGCCACACCGGAACUGAGACACGGUCCGGACUCCUACGGGAGGCAGCAGUGGGGAAUAUUGGACAAUGGGCGAAAGCCUGAUCCAGCGACGCCGCGUGGGUGAAGAAGGCCUGCGGGUUGUAAAGCCCUUUCGGUGGGGAAGAAAAGCCUCGACCUAACACGUCGGGGUCUUGACGUAACCCAAGAAAGAAGCACCGGCUAACUCUGUGCCAGCAGCCGCGGUAAUACAGAGGGUGCGAGCGUUAAUCGGAAUUACUGGGCGUAAAGCGCGCGUAGGCGGCUUUGCAAGUCGAGUGUGAAAUCCCCAGGCUUAACCUGGGAACUGCAUUCGAGACUGCAUAACUAGAGUAUGGGAGAGGGAAGUGGAAUUUCAGGUAGCGGUGAAAUGCGUAGAUAUCUGAAGGAACAUCAGUGGCGAAAGCGACUUCCUGGACCAAUACUGACGCUCAUGUGCGAAAGCGUGGGGAGCAAACAGGAUUAGAUACCCUAGUAGUCC
rnacentral:rRNA from 1 species